CCCUUAGAUGUUCUGGGCCGCACGCGUGCUACACUGAGUGGAUCAGCGGGUCAGGUUGCGCGAAAGCGUUUCCUAAUCUUUAAAUCCGCUCGUGAUGGGGAUUGACGGUUGCAAUUUUCUGUCAUGAACGAGGAAUACCUUGUAAGCCCGGGUCAUCAUCCCGCGCUGAAUACGUCCCUGCCCUCUGUACACACCGCCCGUCGCUCCUACCGAUUGAGUGGUCCGGUGAGGCUUUGGGAUCUGAGCGGAAAGAGCGUUUCGCUGUUUCUGCUCGGAAAACUCAGUCGAACCUUAUCAUUUAGAGGAAGGAGAAGUCGUAACA
rnacentral:rRNA from 1 species